GACGGGGGGUCCUAGCGUUGUUCGGAAUUAUUGGGCGUAAAGCGUGUGCAGGUUGUCUGAAAAGUUAGAUGUGAAAUCCUUGGGCUUAACCCAAGACGUGCAUUUAAAACUGCCAGACUUGAGUAUGGAAGAGGAUCGUGGAAUUCCUAGUGUAGUGGUGAAAUACGUAGAUAUUAGGAGGAACACCGGUGGCGAAGGCGGCGAUCUGGUCCAAUACUGACACUCAUACACGAAAGCGUGGGGAUCAAACAGGA
rnacentral:rRNA from 1 species